rnacentral:rRNA from 1 species
CGCGUAGGUGGGAUAUUAAGUCUAUUCUAAAAGUGCGGGGCUCAACCCCGUAAUGGGAUGGAAACUAAUAUUCUUGAGUACCGGAGAGGAAAGCGGAAUUCCCAGUGUAGCGGUGAAAUGCGUAGAUAUUGGGAGGAACACCAGUGGCGAAGGCGGCUUUCUGGACGGUGUCUGACACUGAGGCGCGAAAGCUAGGGGAGCGAACGGGAUUAGAUACCCCGGUAGUCCUAGCCGUAAACGAUGGGUACUAGGUGUAGGAGGUAUCGACCCCUUCUGUGCCGGAGUUAACGCAAUAAGUACCCCGCCUGGGGAGUACGGCCGCAAGGUUGAA